AAAAUUUCAGAUGUUUUUUAUUCAAAGGUUUUCAAAAGAAAUAAAACAGAAAAAAGCUAACAAUCUGAUCAAAUGUACAGUUCAAAAAUGUCUUUUGGCGUUUAACAACAAGUCCUAGGAAAGAAAACUACAGAGUUAUCUUGAACCGGACAAAUAAGUUACCACUGGCAAGUUUGUGGCACUAGUAAAACAAAAAUAAAAAAUUAACUCUCUUGAUCAUAUAGAUAUCUCUAUGAAAAUCUUUUUUUUUUCAAUCUGUACAAAAGGUCUUUCUUCUCUGUCUUAACUAAUGCAAAAAUAUCAAGUAGUGAGAGACCCAGGUUUAUAACGUACUAGGUACAAAGAGGGCGCUGCGUUCAGUCUGGACUUUCACAAAGCAGUAAUAUUCCAGGGAGCAUAGAACCAAUAAUACCACAACUUUAAAAAAAGG
rnacentral:lncRNA from 1 species